AUUGAACGCUGGCGGCAGGCCUAACACAUGCAAGUCGAGCGGAUGAAGGGAGCUUGCUCCUGGAUUCAGCGGCGGACGGGUGAGUAAUGCCUAGGAAUCUGCCUGGUAGUGGGGGAUAACGUCCGGACACGGGCGCUAAUACCGCAUACGUCCUGAGGGAGAACGUGGGGGAUCUUCGGACCUCACGCUAUCAGAUGAGCCUAGGUCGGAUUAGCUAGUUGGUAGGGUAAAGGCCUACCAAGGCGACGAUCCGUAACUGGUCUGCGAGGGUGAUCAGUCACACUGGAAAUGGGACACGGGCCAGACCCCUAAGGGAGGCAGCAGGAGGGAAAUUUCGGAAAUGGGCGAAAGCUUGACGCAGCAAAGCCGCGGGGGUGAAGAAGGUCUUCGGAUUGUAAAACUCUUUUAUGUGGGAAGAAAGGAUGUGAAAGUAACUCUUCACGUUUUGACGGUACCUAAUAAGAAAGCCACGGCUAACUUCGUG
rnacentral:rRNA from 1 species